AGGCCGUCAGUUUCUCUACGUGUGUCACCUGUCGCUCGCAUGAAAAAGCGGCGCGCGUAAGCUGAAGUGCGCGUGAGUCAAAGUGCCGCACCUACACAUCCCAUUAAGUCUUUUUCCCCCCAUGAUAUCGAAAUCGUGUUUUUUUUUUUAUCUCGGAGUAUGAACGUAUUAUAAAAUAAACCAUUACUUGACGAGUGACAAAAACAUGUGACCAUGCGGUGUGUUUAUUACAUAUAAUUUAAUAUAUAUUAUUUUAAGUACAUAACGUUUCAUUAUAAAUCAUUAUUUUACUCAAUAAUUUUACUUUUGUUGAACUAAACUUUGAAACCGAGCUUAAGAAUUUCAUACUGUUAAAUACGAGUGUGUGAAUUAAUUGAACUGCCGUAAUUAAUUUCGUCUGGGCUAUAUCAAUAAAAACGGAAGGCCUGCGUUGUGGUUGGUGGUAAGGCCUCACCGCAGUUUAACAACGUAGUUGUGGCAAUUGCACCAGUACACGGCUCGAUCAAGACUCCCGUGUUAUGGAGUAUUCGGACACCACUAAUGAAGCGGGAAUGUUCCUACACAAUGCUCUGAAUACAGCGAAAC